rnacentral:rRNA from 1 species
CCUAGUAACGGCGAGUGAAGCGGCAACAGCUCAAAUUUGAAAUCUGGCUCUUUUAGAGUCCGAGUUGUAAUUUGCAGAGGGCGCUUUGGCGUUGGCAGCGGUCCAAGUUCUUUGGAACAGGACGUCACAGAGGGUGAGAAUCCCGUACGUGGUCGCUAGCCUUCGCCGUGUAAAGCCCCUUCGACGAGUCGAGUUGUUUGGGAAUGCAGCUCUAAAUGGGAGGUAAAUUUCUUCUAAAGCUAAAUACUGGCCAGAGACCGAUAGCGCACAAGUAGAGUGAUCGAAAGAUGAAAAGCACUUUGGAAAGAGAGUCAAAUAGCACGUGAAAUUGUUGAAAGGGAAGCGCUUGCAGCCAGACUUGCCUGUAGUUGCUUAUCCGGACUUUUGUCCGGUGCACUCUUCUGCGGGCAGGCCAGCAUCAGUCUAGGCGGUUGGAUAAAGGUCUCUGUCAUGUACCUCUCUUCGGGGAGGCCUUAUAGGGGAGACGACAUGCAACCAGCCUGGACUGAGGUCCGCGCAUCUGCUAGGAUGCUGGCGUAAUGGCUGUAAGCGGCCCGUCUUGAAACACGGACCAAGGAGUCUAACAUCUAUGCGAGUGUUUGGGUGUCAAGCCCAGACGCGUAAUGAAAGUGAACGGAGGUGGGAACCCUUUGGGUGCACCAUCGACCGAUCCUGAUGUCUUCGGAUGGAUUUGAGUAAGAGCAUGGCUGUUGGG